rnacentral:lncRNA from 1 species
CAGACAUAAGAACUGCAUUUAUGUCCAUAAUUCCCCAUUUGAAUGGCCUUUUCUUUUUGCUUAGACAAUGCCUACGCCUAGCCACAGCAGCUCCCUCAUGCAGACUCCACAAGCCAAGAGGCCAUGGAGGCAAAUGCAGGCAGCCAGCACACCUCGAACAGCCACCUUGACUGCGGGUGUGUUAACAGAUUCUUGUUGUACAUAUGCUCAUAAUAAACUUCAUUAAACUUGAACUUAAUAAUAAACUUGAAGGCAAAUGGGACAUUGAA